AACGCACCUUGCACCCUUUGGUAUUCCGAAGGGUACACCCGUUUGAGUGUCAUUGUAAUCUCACUUCAACGACUUUAUUGUCGUUUGAAUGUGGACUUGGACGUCUGCCGUGUAACAAUGGCUCGUCUUAAAUGCCUGAGUGUACCCCGCUUUGCGGCGUAUUCGGUGUGAUAAACAUUUCACCGGAGUUUGGUCUUUAUUGACCGCGCUUUUAGCAAUUGGUGGGCUCUAUGCUUUCUAACCGUCUGCCUCUGUGGACAAUCUCUUGACAAUUUGACCUCAAAUCGGGUGGGACUACCCGCUGAACUUAA
rnacentral:misc_RNA from 1 species